UGGCUCAGAGGGUAAAGCAUCUACCUGCAAAGCAGGAGACCCAGGUUCAAUCCCUGG
rnacentral:tRNA from 1 species